GGGUCAGUAGGUUGGUCGUGCCACCGGUACGUACUGGUCUCACUGAUUCCUCCUUCCUGAAUAACCGUAAUGCCAUUAAUUUGGUGUUGCGGGGAAACAGGACUGUUACUUUGAAAAAAUUAGAGUGUUUAAAGCAAGCUAACGCUUGAAUCCAUUAGCAUGGAAUAAUGAAAUAGGACGAUCGAUCCUAUUUUGUUGGUUUCUAGGAUUGACGUA
rnacentral:rRNA from 1 species